AACGGGGGGGGCUAGUGUUAUUCAUCCUAACUGGGCGUAAAGGGCGCGUAGUUGUUUGUUAAGUUUUUUAGGUAAAUACUCGGGUUACGCUUGAGAUAACUUAAUUGUACUGAUGGACUAGAGUUUUUAGCGGUAAAACGUAUUCAAAAAUGUAGGGGUAGAAUUCGUCGAAAUUUUGCAGACCAUCUUCUAGCAAAGGCGGUUUUAUGGCUAAAUAAACUGACACUGAUGCGCAAAAGCAUGGUAUCAAACAGG
rnacentral:rRNA from 1 species